UAUAUAUAUGUAGUUUACCCCGUCAGACGAACGCUGGCGGCGUGCCUAAUACAUGCAAGUCGAACGAACUCUGGUAUUGAUUGGUGCUUGCAUCAUGAUUUACAUUUGAGUGAGUGGCGAACUGGUGAGUAACACGUGGGAAACCUGCCCAGAAGCGGGGGAUAACACCUGGAAACAGAUGCUAAUACCGCAUAACAACUUGGACCGCAUGGUCCGAGUUUGAAAGAUGGCUUCGGCUAUCACUUUUGGAUGGUCCCGCGGCGUAUUAGCUAGAUGGUGGGGUAACGGCUCACCAUGGCAAUGAUACGUAGCCGACCUGAGAGGGUAAUCGGCCACAUUGGGACUGAGACACGGCCCAAACUCCUACGGGAGGCAGCAGUAGGGAAUCUUCCACAAUGGACGAAAGUCUGAUGGAGCAACGCCGCGUGAGUGAAGAAGGGUUUCGGCUCGUAAAACUCUGUUGUUAAAGAAGAACAUAUCUGAGAGUAACUGUUCAGGUAUUGACGGUAUUUAACCAGAAAGCCACGGCUAACUACGUGCCAGCAGCCGCGGUAAUACGUAGGUGGCAAGCGUUGUCCGGAUUUAUUGGGCGUAAAGCGAGCGCAGGCGGUUUUUUAAGUCUGAUGUGAAAGCCUUCGGCUCAACCGAAGAAGUGCAUCGGAAACUGGGAAACUUGAGUGCAGAAGAGGACAGUGGAACUCCAUGUGUAGCGGUGAAAUGCGUAGAUAUAUGGAAGAACACCAGUGGCGAAGGCGGCUGUCUGGUCUGUAACUGACGCUGAGGCUCGAAAGUAUGGGUAGCAAACAGGAUUAGAUACCCUGGUAGUCCAUACCGUAAACGAUGAAUGCUAAGUGUUGGAGGGUUUCCGCCCUUCAGUGCUGCAGCUAACGCAUUAAGCAUUCCGCCUGGGGAGUACGGCCGCAAGGCUGAAACUCAAAGGAAUUGACGGGGGCCCGCACAAGCGGUGGAGCAUGUGGUUUAAUUCGAAGCUACGCGAAGAACCUUACCAGGUCUUGACAUACUAUGCAAAUCUAAGAGAUUAGACGUUCCCUUCGGGGACAUGGAUACAGGUGGUGCAUGGUUGUCGUCAGCUCGUGUCGUGAGAUGUUGGGUUAAGUCCCGCAACGAGCGCAACCCUUAUUAUCAGUUGCCAGCAUUAAGUUGGGCACUCUGGUGAGACUGCCGGUGACAAACCGGAGGAAGGUGGGGAUGACGUCAAAUCAUCAUGCCCCUUAUGACCUGGGCUACACACGUGCUACAAUGGAUGGUACAACGAGUUGCGAACUCGCGAGAGUAAGCUAAUCUCUUAAAGCCAUUCUCAGUUCGGAUUGUAGGCUGCAACUCGCCUACAUGAAGUCGGAAUCGCUAGUAAUCGCGGAUCAGCAUGCCGCGGUGAAUACGUUCCCGGGCCUUGUACACACCGCCCGUCACACCAUGAGAGUUUGUAACACCCAAAGUCGGUGGGGUAACCUUUUAGGAACCAGCCGCCUAAGGUGGGACAGAUGAUUAGGGUGAAGUCGUAACAAGGUAACCGUAAAG
rnacentral:rRNA from 2 species